ACGGGGAGGGCAGGGGGAAGCGGCGCCCGCCCUGCGCUCCCAGCCGACCCGGGAGCGCCCCGGGCGCGGGGCGCUGCGGACGCGGGGCGCGGGGCAGCGGGCACGGGGCGGCGCCGGCCCCGGGCGGCUCUCCCACUAGGGGUAGCUGUUGCCUGAACGCCGGAGCGCUCCCCUCUUGCCGCUUGCCUCUCCCAGCGCAGCCCCGGCCGCCGGGCGCACCCGUCCCGUUCGUCCCCGGACGUUGCUCUCUGCCCCGGGAACGUCGAGACAGGAGCGCCCGAACUGAGCCACCUUCGUGGACCCCGAGCGCGGCGGCCCGACUCACCGCGGAGGCGCCCGAACGCGUAAAUCGCGGGGACUUAUCUGGAGCCGCGGGGCUUGAGCCAGAGUCCGAGGCUGCCGCCGCCCGCGUCCCGUGCGCCUCCCUCCCAGGGGGACCAGCUGCCUAACUUCUUCUCGGGACAGAGAUAGCGCUCGCGCCGGGGGCCGAAGUAGGAGCUGGCUGGGCUCUACAGGUCGCUGGCAAAUCGCUUUUGGCAGCGAAGAAACAAGUUCGGAGAAGUCAACUGCAGGACAAGGGCUCCAACGGGCGUGCAAGUAGAUGCUCGCCUUGGGCAGAUAUUCUUCCCUCCGGUUUUCGCGGCUCUGGUAGGACCCUCUGCCCCAUGAGUUCCCCACAAGACCCGUGGUUCUCACAGGUCAAGCCCUUGAGGGUGCGUGGAAGACGGAGGGGCCGGGGGGGCACGUGAACGUGCCCUCUUAUCCCCUUCUUCAAUCAGGCGAUUUCUCUGCUGCCCAGGGCAGCAGCGCACACCCCAGGAACUUCUUACCUAAGGGAAGCCAGAUUUGUUUCUACUGUUUCUCUUAGUACCCCUAAACUGCCCCUCACCACACUGGGUAGGGUCUCUCAGGUGGUCUAGAGAAUCCUCCGUUAGCAAACCUGGCUGCGGGCGGGGAGUUUCACUUACCUGCCCCCUACUCCAGCGGGGCACUUCUCGGUUAGGUGAUUUUCCUCUUUUCUGGACCCUUUUACAGGGGUGGGGGCGGGGAGAAGUAGAAAGAGAAGUCUCCUGCUUGGCAGGACUCUGAGAAGAAGUUUGGGGGUCUUCUUCUGAGGCUGCAUUUUCCUGGGCAGAGGCCAGAAGAUGUGUGUGGGGGUUCUGACUUUUGUUGGGCAAUCUGUCAAGCCUUGAUUCCUUGAUUUCUGGGAGGUGCCAGUGUAGGGCUUGUGUCCUGCUUUGCCUACACAGCAGUUGGGACAGAGGCAUGGGAUAGUUCUCCAAGCUUUCUUCCCACAUUUAGUUUUAGAAAAUGAAUAAGUUGCCAUGGGCUGGGAGAGUCUUUCUGUGCUGCCUGGGAUCUAGAGGGGUGUGGUGUGCAUGUGUGUAUGCUCACGUGUGUGUGUGUGUGCAUAUGUGUACAUGUGUCUGUAUGUGCUCUGUGUGCAUUUGCCUGAAUGCAUGUGCAUGCAUGUGGAAGGCCUGGUCUGGGCUGCUGUAAGAUUGGGGCUAGGCCCAGUCGGCAGCACCCGGAUCCAUGCUGCUUCUAGCCCUGGGGACUCUCAGGAUAGCAGUACUUGUUCUUAGGGCUUUCAUCUGUACUUGGGGAUCUGUUGCUGUUUCUUGGGCAGACAGACUGAAUUCCAUACUUCAGGAUUCCAGAACACUGGACAAGGCGCUCAGGUCCAUCUGGCUCCCACAGCUUUUUGUGCAGACCUUCUGUUCUCCAGAGCAGCCCCAGUGCCCCCUGUCCUGCUCCAGGGCUGUACCCCCAGCUCCAAGUAGCACUGGCUCCUCCUGCCUGUUGCUCACACUGUUCCGUCCCAUUUCAGAGGUCAGGAGGGAGAGUGCUGGCCCAAGGCCAAGACCCACCCAGGACUUGGUGGAGUGCCAGGCAUCCUCCAGGGCCUGGCAGGCUCUGCUGUGGGGGACUAGGCCUCCCCUGCCCACCUUCUUGCCUGCCUUCUCACAACUCCAGCAGGGGGCGGGCAGGGGAAAGAAAAAGAGGGACAAGUCUGACUGGGUCCUUUGGUGUCCAGGAGCAACUUGGAGAGGGGUUGGGGGAGGGGACAGGGAGCAGGGCCCUGGCACAGCCAGGAGGGUUGGCCUUUGGAUGGCCUCCUGCUCCCAAGACAUCCUCUAGAGCAGUGGUUCUCAACCUUCCUAAUGCCAUGGCCCUUUAAUACAGUUCCUGUGGGUUGUGACCCACAGGUUGAGAACCAUUGCUCUAGAAGCUGGGGCUGUCUGUUCACGCAGGGGUGGGCUUGGUGGACCAAGCAUGGGGUGUGGUGGGUGAGUGUGCUAUGGGAAUAGCCUCUGUCUCUCUUCUACUAUCGCAAAACCAAGAGCCCAGGGAGGUUGUCACUGAGACUUCCUACUGGGGUGGAGUGUUCCAGUAGCCCUCUGUGUUCCCUGCAGGAUCUCUGGAGGCUUCAAUGAGGAAGUAGUCCAGCCCUCACACCUGGAGAAGAGAGUUGGAGAGCUCCAGCCUGGGCAGUGGGUGUUUCACCACCGAUUUCUGUGUCUGCUGUCCACUCCAGACCUGCUCCUCCCAGGCUGGCUGAGCCAGGAUCCUCUGCAGUGACUAACCGGAACCAGUACCAGGGAGACGCCCAAUAAACCUUUGUGAAAU